AUUUAGCUGACGAGUCCCAAACAGAACGAAAUGAGAGUUAUAGAU
rnacentral:hammerhead_ribozyme from 1 species